CUUAAAAUAGUUUAUAUAAAAAUUGCAGCAUUGGGAGCUGCGGAUCAUUGYUAAUGUUUUUUGG
rnacentral:tRNA from 1 species